AUUUCAUAAUAUAACUAAUGCAUUUUAUUAAGUAUUUUUCAUAACAUUAGUCAUUGAACUGUAAUUUAAUUAUGUUAAUAGAAUUUUAAUGGGUUUAAGAUAUUACCAUUCAGCUUCAUAAUUUGAAUUUUAAACUGAAUUUAUAGUAAAUAAAAACCAGUUUUAUUUUAAUUUUUCAUUGCAUAAUUAUAGUGGAUGAAAGUAGAAUAAAAAGGUAAUUUGUCAGAUUCAAUUUAUUAAUGUCUCUGGUAGUGACCAUACCAAGAUUUACUGCAAUAAACAUAAGCUCUUUAAAAUCUAUCUCCCUCCCUUAUGUUAGGACUAUGCUUAUAUAACUUUAUAUCUAUUACAGGUAACCUAAUUAAGGCAACACUGUGGCUCCAGAUUCAACUUCUGAUAUGUCUUUUACCAGCUCUGUUCACAAUGAGCCUUAACUUUCUCUUUGGUGAACUGGUGUAUCUAAUCUGCGCCUUGUGUAUGCAGAGCAUUGUUAACUGAGGUGAAAAUAAAGUAUUGGAUGUGAUCUAAGCUUUUUGUUACUGUAUCUUUCAUGAUAGACUAGGUCUUUCUGUAUUAACAAACGGGAAAACAAGGCCCAAAUCUCAGUGCCCAUAAGCCUAGUCCCUAUGUAGUUUAUUUUUCAUGCUUCAUAUCUGCAGGCACUUGGCUCAUUGUGAUCCCUGAGAAGCAGGCCAGUGAAAGUUCCAUGUUAGCAUGUGCUUUCACAAUCAUCAGGUCAGGGGAAAGAUGCUGACAAAUCACACCCUGUCAAUUAAAAUGUUCUUGCAGAAAUGACACUCCUAAUUGAGCUCACAUGUCAUUGGCCAAAGCAAAUAACACAGCCACACCUAAUUUCAGAGCAAGUGAGGAAGUGCGGUUCUACCCUGUGUCUUAUGAGAGAGUUGGGCACAUUUCUGAUGAACUCCAAUCAUUAUCAUGGUGUAUAAAUGUGGAAUGGUAAUCUGUUUAUCCUGAGAUGAAUUUAGUGAAGAAAUGAUUUUUGCCUUGCAAUGAUAGGACUGUUAUAUAAUUUUCUGCUAUCAAUUAUAGAUAUGGGCAGCCAAUAUCUGAGAAGGGAAGAUGUUCUGAUAUGAAAUAAAGAUCAGGCAUAUGCACUAUUAUAUUACUAGUAUGAGAAACAUAAGAUGAGAGAGAGAUACACAAAUGAACUAGAAAAGUGGUAAGAAAGACAGAGGGACACCUGACUUGCAGCGGAAUCCUAUAACUAUAGUGGGGAAGGGUUACUGGGAAACGUGAGAUAAAGACAAUAUUGAAGAACCAGAGGGAUAUUGAUUUUCAGAGAGGAUAUGAAAAACUAUAAUACAGAGAAGCAGAA
rnacentral:lncRNA from 1 species